rnacentral:RNase_P_RNA from 1 species
GUAAGGUAGAUAAUCGCUGCUGCUAUUGCCGAAAGGACGCAGGAGAGGAAAGUCCGGGCUUCGCAGGGCAGGAUGCCGGCUAACGGCCGGUGGAGGUGACUCCCAGGAAAGUGCAACAGAAAUUAAACCGCCAGCAAUGGUAAGGAUGAAAUGGUAGUGUAAGAGACUACCGCUUUAAUGGUAACAUUAAAGGUCAGUGUAAACCCCAUCCGAAGCAAGACCGAGCAGAAAGUAUUGGUUGCCCGCCAGCUUUCGGGUAGGUUGCUUGAGCUAAGUGGCAACAUUUAGCCUAGAUAGAUGAUUAUCCAAGACAUAACCCGGCUUACAGCCUUACUCAU